GGGUGACCGAGGGCGGUGAUCCAGUGUGGUGAGGGCGGUGGGUCCUCGCCAUGCCCCGGUAUUAUGAGGAAAAGCCGGAGGGCGGCGCGUGUGCGGGCGUGAAGGAGGAUCUGGGUGCAUGUCUGCUGCAGUCUGCCUGUGUGCUCCAGGAAGGAAAAUCCCCACAGCAGUGUUUGAAGGAAGGCAAUUGUAGAGCUUUGCAGUAUUCCUUUUUUGAAUGUAAAAGAUCAAUGCUGGAUGCCAGAUCAAGAUUCAGAGGGAGAAAAGGAUAUUGAUAACAUGCUGAACGCAAGAUGAAAGUCACCCAGGAUUUUCUGUGGUCCUUAACAGAAAAGAACCAAAUGGGAAGCACAGCAGCUGCCNCAUCUCUUCCACCUCUGGGCCAGGUGUUCCUCCCAAGGACACCAGAGAAAGUGGAUCAGUGCUGUUUCUGAAUGAGUCUGUUGGCUGAAGUCAUUUAUAGAAGAUCCAUGGGACUAAACAACUAUGGGCUAAGAAUGUGUUUUGGGAAUUGCCUAAUGGAGAGAUUAUGUUCAAGGAUGACUCUUCGAUCAGAUUACACAGUAUGUGCAUUCAGGAGGCCAUGAUGAGAUCGGCAUAGAUAGUGGCUCCUCCAACUCUUUUUUCUAUUUCUUGAUUUCAAUUUUAAACCAACCCCCUCCUCAUAAAGGGGUGAAAUCAGCCAUAGUCCACAUCCUC